rnacentral:lncRNA from 1 species
UCUUACUCUUCUCUCUCUCUAUGUGAUAAGUUCUUGCUUUUGAGUGUGUGUAACAUUCUUGUUUUUAUAGUUAUUUAUUUAUUCAGGUUGGUUGUUAACAUUGUUAUCCUUCAAAUUGAUUUGAAAGGGAAAACUGCCUUAAUUUCAGGUAUUUAAGCACUGGGGGGCCCUUUUUUUUCAAACCAAUCUGGACUUUCAAACCUUGGGUUUUGCAGGAGGAGACCUUCCCUCCUUUUCCCUCUCC